GUUUUAUUAUAGAAAUUAUAUUAUAGAAAUUCUGACAGGAAAUCAACUAGCUAAUGAGUCCUAUGUGUACUAGUGUGAUGACUCAUGGGCCUUGUAGUCCUGUUCCUAGUACUAUUGUGGCAGACGAAGAGGAAAACAUGGGGUUUUCGCCGGUUCAGCAAGAGCCGGAGUCCCUUCACCUGCAGGAUGUUGAUGUUUGCCCUCAAGAAUUCAGCCAAACAGGCCUUGGGCAGAACUCCCCUCCGUUUCCCAGGAAGGAGUCUUAUUCUAGAGAAAGGGGAGUCAGAGAAGCCCAACAGAGGAGUUUACGCAUAGCUGCCAAACAUCAAGCUGAUUAGGCCUGCUUCCCUUGGGAAAUUCUAAGGAGUCACACAUCUGGACAGAGUUGGGUUUCGCUUCUCGUUCUCUAGGGAAAGAGUUCUGUUGGCGGGAAAACGAGACCCAAUAUAGGUGUUUGGCGCGAGGGAUUCUUUGCGGAGUCAAUUGAUCACCUUCAGGAGAGAGAUCGUGUGUGGACUUCGUACCCCAGUUCCUUGCUUCCCGGAUCAAGCUUCAAGCCUUGCCCUGCCUCGCGGUUUUACCACAGACCCUGCUUCAUGCUUCAUGUUUUGCCUUGUCUCCAGUCACGGACCUAGUUAAGAAUCAAGUUUAUUUCCAGCCUUGUUGUCAAGCUUCAUUGGACUCUAAGACUCUGUUAUUUCCCCACACUAUUGCUUGGCAAAGUGUGUGUUUCGGUCAAGUGGAUUAAAACUUUGAACUCUAAUAUCAUUUAUUGGACAAUACAUUUUUGGACUAUAUUUGACCUCAUUUGAAAGGUCUGCUUCUGAACUAUAUUCUUCACUUGUUUUUAUUGAUUUUAUAUAUUUCUUUAAUAAAGAUAUUAGAUAGAGACUGGCCUCUGUGUAGGGUUAUUGGUGCCCAGCAGCCAGGGACCUGACAACUAGGUAAACAAAGCAAAUAAAUAUAAGUAAAUAAUAUACAAUUCAAUGAAUCAGGCUUUGAUAAAACGUCAAAGGGCACCAUUUCCUGCAAGACUGGGGGCUGAGACAUUUCUUCAAAACUAGGCUUCAAUUGUGAAGACAAUUUCAAUUCCAGGAAGCUGUUGAGGUUAGGUCGAAGCAAAUUCAGGGAUCAAAGUUUCUUGGAGGAAAGAGCUACAAAAGAGGACUUGAGAAGAUGAAAGGGAGGAAAGUUGUUUCAAGAGGUUUUCAUUUCUAUUUUUUGGAUAUAGAAAGAAGCACAGAGAUUAACCCUCACACUGGGUUGCAGUCACAUAAGCGGAGAGGCGAACAAUGGGGAAAGGGUCAGAUUCAACCAAGCAAUGCCUUCUGGGAUGAGGAAGCAAUGGUGGCUCUCCAUUUCUGAAGACACAACCGUUGUAACUUUGUCUAUCUCCUUGGGUGAAACACACAGGAACCUGAGUCAGCACGGACCAGGAAGUGAAGAGAAACACAACAAGCGUUAUAUGAAAUAUCACCUGAAAAUGGUCCCCAUCACAAGAUGAAAUGCGUUUUCAUGUGAAGGACUGAAAUGGCUUUUGAGCCUUGAAAGUUUGCUCAUUUGUGUGAACAUCUGAUUGUUGUUGAUGCAGAACAGAAAGCGGGAGAAAGGGACAUUUGUAAUUCAAAUAAGCAUUUCUGACUAAUACAGCUUGAACACUUGACAUGACAAAGCGACUGAAGCAAGAACGGCUUUAGGCCUCGUGUGAAAAUGCCCUAACUCUAAACCAUGGUCAAUCCAGUGGAAAAGGAAAUAUGCUUUCAAAGGGAAUAAUAAACCUACUUUUCAAAGGAAAUGUAAUCUAGAAGCAAAGGGGAUAAAACAGAGACACUUGACAGAAAAACUAUAGUUUAUCACAAUAAUACUAACAAAAUAAUUCUAUGUACUAAUGUAUUUAAUAUCCCUAUGUAAUAAAAAAAAGGCCUAGCAGAAUAUACAUUAAUUCUAGUGGAGUUUAAUUUUGAAUAGCCAUGUAUAAAGUUUGCAGUUCAAAAUCCAGAUUUGGCAAUCUGAAUUAUCAUUAAAAGUUUGACAUAA